rnacentral:rRNA from 1 species
ACUCAAAGGAAUAGACGGGGGCCCGCACAAGCGGCGGAGCAUGUGGAUUAAUUCGAUGCAACGCGAAGAACCUUACCUGGGCUUGACAUGCACCAGACAUCUCCAGAGAUGGGGCUUCCCUUGUGGUUGGUGUGCAGGUGGUGCAUGGCUGUCGUCAGCUCGUGUCGUGAGAUGUUGGGUUAAGUCCCGCAACGAGCGCAACCCUUGCCCUAUGUUGCCAGCGCGUAAUGGCGGGGACUCGUGGGGGACUGCCGGGGUCAACUCGGAGGAAGGUGGGGAUGACGUCAAGUCAUCAUGCCCCUUAUGUCCAGGGCUUCACACAUGCUACAAUGGCUGGUACAGAGGGUGGCGAUAUCGUGAGGUGGAGCGAAUCCCUUAAAGCCGGUCUCAGUUCGGAUCGUAGUCUGCAACUCGACUGCGUGAAGUCGGAGUCGCUAGUAAUCGCAGAUCAGCAACGCUGCGGUGAAUACGUUCCCGGGCCUUGCACACACCGCCCGU